AGAAAACACAGCCAGAAUACUGGAAGGAAGCAAACGUUUUAAUAAAAUUUUGGUUCAUAAAGUCUUACAGUCUCAGGAAGUACUAAUGAAGUUCAAGCUUGGAAAUGAGUCUUUUAAGUAUAAAUUGGAAAUCUUGAUGCAAACCAUGGAGUACAGUAGGGUGGAACUCACUCAGGGAGCUCCAGCUGAGAGGAAUGUGUAACUUAGUACAACAGUACCAGUACCUCAGGAGGAAGAAAAAGGAGACCACCACCAACACCCACCAUGGUGAAUACUUACAGGCAAAGCCCAUCAUUUCCAAGAGUUUUAAUAGCCACAAAUGUCUCUCAGCAUUUCCCUCCCUAAGGAAGACAAUAUCAGAGUACUGGCACAGGCUUCUUAAAAUUAUACUGGCAAAAGAUAAACAAAG
rnacentral:lncRNA from 1 species